rnacentral:misc_RNA from 1 species
GAACUAUAGCCACUGACAUAACAACUCUAUCUGCGUUACAUAAAGCCAAAGAUAAGGCUAACAUUGCCACAACUUUCACUCUCUCGGAAGUGAUGAACUCCACAAAGCUCCCUUGUUGCUGUACUGAUUGAGAAUCAUUGGAAGAAGUUCGUAUUCGAUUACUCCGAACCGGAAUCUUGGUUCUGAAGAAAGUGUUAGCAGUAAUCAAUUU